rnacentral:rRNA from 1 species
AUUGAACGCUGGCGGCAUGCCUUACACAUGCAAGUCGAACGGUAACAGGUCUUCGGAUGCUGACGAGUGGCGAACGGGUGAGUAAUACAUCGGAACGUGCCCGAGAGUGGGGGAUAACGAAGCGAAAGCUUUGCUAAUACCGCAUACGAUCUCAGGAUGAAAGCAGGGGACCGCAAGGCCUUGCGCUCACGGAGCGGCCGAUGGCAGAUUAGGUAGUUGGUGGGAUAAAAGCUUACCAAGCCGCCGAUCUGUAGCUGGUCUGAGAGGAGGACCGGCCACACUGGGACUAGUACACGGCCCAGAGUCCUACGGGAGGCAGCAGUGGGGAAUUUUGGACAAUGGGCGAAAGCCUGAUCCAGCCAUGCCGCGUGCAGGAUGAAGGCCUUCGGGUUGUAAACUGCUUUUGUACGGAACGAAAAGGCUCUGGUUAAUACCUGGAGUCCAUGACGGUACCGUAAGAAUAAGCACCGGCUAACUACGUGCCAGCCGCCGCAGUAAUAC